GUGUCAGCCGCCGCGGUAAUACGUAGGUGGCGAGCGUUGUCCGGAAUUACUGGGUGUAAAGGGCGUGUAGGCGGGGAUGUAAGUCAGAUGUGAAAUCCCAUGGCUCAACUGUGGGGCUGCAUCUGAAACUAUGUCUCUUGAGUGCCGGAGAGGGAAGCGGAAUUCCUAGUGUAGCGGUGAAAUGCGUAGAUAUUAGGAGGAACACCAGUGGCGAAGGCGGCUUUCUGGA
rnacentral:rRNA from 1 species